rnacentral:lncRNA from 1 species
AUUAAAAGACUUUAAUUUUAUUAAUACGGCAAACACGCUGGACCUUAUUAGGCUCUGAUGAUAUUCACUUGGCCACAUUGUUGCUUGGACUUCAAGAAAUUACUUGAAAGCAUCCUCUCGAAGCUACUCGGCAGCCCCACACAAUCUGCACGAUCAAUUAUUCUAUUCCCCAUCUAAACCCCACGCCAAAAUUUAUUUCCACCUAUAUCCCCUCUAAACCCACACCUCUACCGUCCCUAUAUAAAAACCUCCACCUCCGCCCACUACUCAACCUCCUCCUUCUUCUCCAGAAGUACCAGAGCUGAUUCCAUGGUGGACGACGGCGGUGGCGGUGUCUGGCCGGCGUUCCCUGUAGCCUUUCUUCGACGGCGAGAGGGAGAUGGACAUUGGCGACGUCAGGAUUAGUCCUGCCAUGGAGUACAAGUCCUUUCAGCUAAUGCUAAGCGAGAAGAUAGGGAUCUCACCCAAUCAGAUUUCGAUAUACCUCGUCAAUCGGAGAAGGAACCGGAAGUCUCCUUUCUCCGACGAUCGCCGUCGGAUUCCGAUCACCGGAAAGGCCAACUUCGGCGCGAUAUGUCGCCUGAAGGAAUGCUGCUUCCUCGUCAUACUGAAGAGGUCGCGGAAGUCGAGGAGCCGCAGGGAGAGGACGAUGGCCGCCAAUUUCGUGUCUCGCGCGGAGGCGGUUCGUCCGGCGCCGGAGCAUCUGAUUCUGCUGAGGAGGAGUCAACCGGCGCCGCUAUACGGCCGGAUUGCUCAGCCGGAAGGAGGAGACGCGAAAUCGCCGUUGCUGAAAGGCGAUUUGUUUCCGGCGACUGAUCCGACGUGGUUGGCCAUGAACGGAAAUGGAGACGGCAAGGCCUUCUGUGAAGAAUGCUGGAACGCGGAGAAGAAUGGAGGUACGAUGUCGUUCCAUCCCUGCAUCAACGACGCGGUAAUUACUCGGUUCACCACGCGGUUAGGGCCGAUUAAUCGACCCAAUAAAUGCUCUUAAAAAUAUUAACUAUAUAUAUUCUACUUAAAUAGAAUAGAUAACAAUAGCAGUAUUUCUGGGAAAGGGGCUCUGAAUGAGCCAUGUUCUGAUGGGUGCGGCCCAUGGCAACGCCGUGGGCACGAGAUACAUACGCACCUACUAAGGCGUAGGCAGCUUUAUCUGCGUGAUGAUCGAUUGACCAUUAUGCCACUGAGAGUAACGGUUGUUGAAAUGCCUGCUUCUGUUGCUAUGUCAGAAGGGUAGUAUUGUAAAUUAAUCCUUCAAUUUCCAUGUCAUUAUCUUAUAAAUGUUUAUAUAUCACGAUGUUAUGGUAGAAUUAGAUUUUCUUUCUUGCUUNUAGUUUAUUCUACCUUACAAUUCACAAUUAAUGUAGGUUUAGUUGUGAGUUCCCUUAAAUAGUUAUGAAUUUGCAAUUCAUGAUUAAAUAUUGUAAACUUAUCUUUUAUUUAUACUUCACAACUAAAAUGUUUUUCUACUAUGAAAUAAAUGUUUUGCUUACAAUUCACGAUCAAGACUUUAUAAAUUCGUGAAUUUUAACCUUUAUGAAUUAAAGGCAAAAUAAUGCGUUAAGCCAAAAAUAUAAUUAUUUAUAUUUUUUUCAGAAUUAUUGCUAUCUUUAUUAUAUUAAGUAAUUAAUUAUUUUGAUAUUGUAACUCUAAUAGCUAUCUCUAAUCGGCCUAAAAAAUAAAAUAAAACUGAGUCCAUUGUAGCAUGAUCUUCCAAUUCAUUUGUUUGAUUAUUAUAACUAGUGUGUAACCCAUCGAAAAUUUGGACGAAUGAUAUUUAUGUUUCGUUGUCACGCAUUAAUUUGUGAUGUUUGAUCUUUUAAUAGGUCUUUUUGAAAAUAUUCCUUUUGUUUCAAACAAAUAGUUUCAUGACACAACUUUUAGUAAAAAUUGUGAGUGAAAAAAUUAUCAUAUUUUAGAACUAGUAUUAAUAGAUUAAUUAAUUAUAUAUAAAUGGAGUAAGAGGCCCAUCAUCUAGUUGAAUAGGUAAAUAAUUGAUGUAUUAAGAAUAAUAUGUUAUGAAAAAUUAUCAUACCUUUUAAUUAAUUGUAUGUAAGUAGAGAAAGAGGUCAUCAUGUAAUUGAAUGAGUAAAUAAGUCGAUAUAUUAAAAGUAAUAUUGGAUGGUGUCUUAAAAUGAAAGUAAAUUAAUUUUUUAUGGAUUUACAAAAUGACAAAAAUAAACUAUUUUAUGCGAUAAAAUGAAUAUGAUACUAUUUGCCAUUUGCCAUGCCAAUAAGAUACAACACGAUUUAUGAUUAUAUGGGAUUGAUUUUAUAUAAAUAAACAGAUUUAUUAUAAAUAUAUUAUGAAAUAUUAAAUUGCUAUAAAUAUUAUAAAUAAAUAAAAUAAUUAUUAUAAAAAUCAUAUUUAAACCAUGAAUUCAUUUAACUUUAAAUUAAUACAUUAUAAAUCUUUAUAAUUAACUUAAAAGUGAAAUGAGAAGUUGAGUCUAAUUAAAAGACUUUAAUUUUAUUAAUACGGCAAACACGCUGGACCUUAUUAGGCUCUGAUGAUAUUCACUUGGCCACAUUGUUGCUUGGACUUCAAGAAAUUUCUUGAAAGCAUCCUCUCGAAGCUACUCGGCAGCCCCACACAAUCUGCACGAUCAAUUAUUCUAUUCCCCAUCUAAACCCCACGCCAAAAUUUAUUUCCACCUAUAUCCCCUCUAAACCCACACCUCUACCGUCCCUAUAUAAAAACCUCCACCUCCGCCCACUACUCAACCUCCUCCUUCUUCUCCAGAAGUACCAGAGCUGAUUCCAUGGUGGACGACGGCGGUGGCGGUGUCUGGCCGGCGUUCCCUGUAGCCUUCUUCGACGGCGAGAGGGAGAUGGACAUUGGCGACGUCAGGAUUAGUCCUGCCAUGGAGUACAAGUCCUUUCAGCUAAUGCUAAGCGAGAAGAUAGGGAUCUCACCCAAUCAGAUUUCGAUAUACCUCGUCAAUCGGAGAAGGAACCGGAAGUCUCCUUUCUCUGACGAUCGCCGUCGGAUUCCGAUCACCGGAAAGGCCAACUUCGGCGCGAUAUGUCGCCUGA